rnacentral:rRNA from 1 species
GAUGAACGCUGGCGGCGUGCCUAAUACAUGCAAGUCGAGCGAACGGACGAGAAGCUUGCUUCUCUGAUGUUAGCGGCGGACGGGUGAGUAACACGUGGAUAACCUACCUAUAAGACUGGGAUAACUUCGGGAAACCGGAGCUAAUACCGGAUAAUAUUUUGAACCGCAUGGUUCAAAAGUGAAAGACGGUCUUUCUGUCACUUAUAGAUGGAUCCGCGCUGCAUUAGCUAGUUGGUAAGGUAACGGCUUACCAAGGCAACGAUGCAUAGCCGCCCUGAGAGGGUGAUCGGCCACCCUGGAACUGAGACACGGUCCAGACUCCUACGGGAGGCAGCAGUAGGGAAUCUUACGCAAUGGGCGAAAGCCUGACGGAGCAACGCCGCGUGAGUGAUGAAGGUCUUCGGAUCGUAAAACUCUGUUAUUAGGGAAGAACAUAUGUGUAAGUAACUGUGCACAUAUUGACGGUACCUAAUCAGAAAGCCACGGCUAACUACGUG